CGAGUAAGUCAGAUAAUCGCUGCUAAGUUUACUUAGGAGAGGAAAGUCCGAGCUCCGUAGGGCAGGGUGCUGGGUAACUCCCAGUCAAGGUGACUUGAAGGAAAGUGCAACAGAGAUAUACCGCCAGAUUUUUAAUUUAUUAAAAUGAGAGCAGUUACGGCUGACUGGUAAGGAUGGAAAGGCGAGGUAAGAGCUCACCAGCGCAUUGGCGACUUUGCGGCUAUGUAAACCCCACUUGGAGCAAGACCGAAUAGGAUGGCAUAUGGGGCUGCCCGUCCCGCCAUCGGGUGUGUCGCUUGAGCUUAUUGGUAACAAUAGGCCUAGAUAGAUGAUUGUCAAAUACAGAACUCGGCUUAUAGAUUUAGUCGCGCA
rfam:Clostridium cadaveris strain NLAE-zl-G419 genome assembly, contig: Ga0070261_102